rnacentral:rRNA from 1 species
UACAGAGGUCUCAAGCGUUGUUCGGAUUCAUUGGGCGUAAAGGGUGAGUAGGCGGCGCGGUAAGUCGGGUGUGAAAUCUCGGAGCCUAACUCCGAAACUGCAUUCGAUACUGCCGUGCUUGAGGACUGGAGAGGAGACUGGAAUUUACGGUGUAGCGGUGAAAUGCGUAGAUAUCGUAAGGAAGACCAGUGGCGAAGGCGGGUCUCUGGACAGUUCCUGACGCUGAGGCACGAAGGCCAGGGGAGCAAACGGG